rnacentral:rRNA from 1 species
CUGCUAUCUCUUACCCAUGUCUUUUGAGUACUUACGUUUCCUCGGCGGGUCCGCCCGCCGAUUGGACAAAUUUAAACCAUUUGCAGUUGCAAUCAGCGUCUGAAAAACUUUAAUAGUUACAACUUUCAACAACGGAUCUCUUGGUUCUGGCAUCGAUGAAGAACGCAGCGAAAUGCGAUAAGUAGUGUGAAUUGCAGAAUUCAGUGAAUCAUCGAAUCUUUGAACGCACAUUGCGCCCCUUGGUAUUCCAUGGGGCAUGCCUGUUCGAGCGUCAUUUGUACCUUCAAGCUUUGCUUGGUGUUGGGUGUUUGUCUCGCCUCUGCGUGUAGACUCGCCUUAAAACAAUUGGCAGCCGGCGUAUUGAUUUCGGAGCGCAGUACAUCUCGCGCUUUGCACUCAUAACGACGACGUCCAAAAGUACAUUUUUACACUCUUGACCUCGGAUCAGGUAGGGAUACCCGCUGAACUUAAGCAUAUCAAU